CCGGCCUCAGCCGGCGCACCUGGCGGAGGAGGAACCUCGCGACGCGCUCUCGGGCAUCGGUUUCUCCCAGCAAAGCUUGGAGGGUUUAGCUGCGCGGAGAGCUCAGCGAGCUCUUCUGUGUCUGUUUGGGGCGUGUGGGCUCCGGGAGCGUGAGGACCGGGAAGCUAGGAGGCUCCUUCCCUUCUGGCGGCUCCCUCACUGAGACCGGGCGGUUUGGUUGCGGGGGAAGUGGAGACGAGCCACCCUUGACCUUUGACUGCAAGAACUCACCUUGAGCAGGAUAGAGGCACGUGGACGGUGACCCUCGGGAUGCAAUAAAUGCUGAGACAGAUCAGGUGUGCAAGGCACAGAGCUAGAGGCCAGAGGCCUUUCUUCUCCAACCUUCAGUCACCUCUUUUUAAAGUGAAGCCAGCAUCCUCCUCGGGGUUUACUGUGAAAAUUAAGUGAGCUGACGCGUGCUGUGUUUUGAUGUUGCUUGGCUCCUACAAACAUUGAGUGGGCCAGACACUGUUCUGAAAAAUACGCAGUCGACUUUUGAACAGCACAGGCUUGAACUGCAUGCGGCCACUAAUACUCGGACUUCCUUCUGCCUCUGCCAUCCCUAAGACAGCAAGACCCACCCCUCCUGCUCCUCAGCCUACUCGAUGUGAUGAUGAAGUCCUUUUCACCUCCCGCCAUGAUUCUGAGGCCUCCCCAGCCAUGUGGAACUGUAAGUCCAAUUAAACCUCUUUUUCUUCCCAGUCUUGGGUAUGUCUUUAUCAACAGCAUGAAAACAGACUAAUACAGUAAAUUGGGAUCAGUAGAGUGGGGCAUUGCUGAAAAGAUACCCGAAAAUUUGGAAGUGACUUUGGAACUGGGUAACAGGCAGAGAUUGGAACAGUUUGAAGGGCUCAGAAGAAGACAGGAAAAUUUGGGUAAGUUUGGAACUCCCUAGAGAUUUGUUGAAUGGCUUUGCCCAAAAUGCUGAUAGUGAUAUGGACAAUAAAAUCCAGGCUGAGGUGGUCUCAGACAGAGAUGAGAAACUUAUUG
rnacentral:lncRNA from 10 species